rnacentral:rRNA from 1 species
UACGAAGGGGGGCUAGCGUUGCUCGGAAUUACUGGGCGUAAAGCGCACGUAGGCGGCUUUGCAAGUUAGAGGUGAAAGCCCGGGGCUCAACUCGGAAUUGCCUUUAAAACUGCAUCGCUAGAAUUGUGGAGAGGUAAGUGGAAUUCCGAGUGUAGAGGUGAAAUUCGUAGAUAUUCGGAAGAACACCAGUGGCGAAGGCGACUUACUGGACACAUAUUGACGCUGAGGUGCGAAAAGCGUGGGGAGCAAACAGG